GAUGAACGCUGGCGGCGUGCUUAACACAUGCAAGUCGAACGGAAAGGCUCCUGCUUGCAGGGGUACUCGAGUGGCGAACGGGUGAGUAACACGUGGGUGAUCUGCCCUGCACUUCGGGAUAAGCCUGGGAAACUGGGUCUAAUACCGGAUAGGACGAUGGUUUGGAUGCCAUUGUGAAAGUUUUUCGGUGUGGGAUGAGCUCGCGGCCUAUCAGCUUGUUGGUGGGGUAAUGGCCUACCAAGGCGGCGACGGGUAGCCGGCCUGGGUGGGUGUACGGCCACAUUGGGACUGAGAUACGGCCCAGACUCCUACGGGAGGCAGCAGUGGGGAAUAUUGCACAAUGGGCGCAAGCCUGAUGCAGCGACGCCGCGUGGGGGAUGACGGCCUUCGGGUUGUAAACUCCUUUCGCUAGGGACGAAGCGCAAGUGACGGUACCUGGAGAAGAAGCACCGGCUAACUACGUG
rnacentral:rRNA from 1 species